AAAAAGUUGCAUAUCAACACACUUUUGCAGAAGCAUUAGCACAGAUGCCCAAUUAUGUCAAGUUUCUUAAGGAGAUUUUAUCCAAGAAAAGAAGGAAAUUGAGACUAGGAGAGGUCAAGUCCACUACUAUUUCUCUACAAUUAGCAGAUCGCUCUAUGGUGAUACCAUGGUGUGUAGUGAAGGAUGUGCUCAUAAAAGUCAACAAAUUCAUCUUUCCUGUAGAUUUUGUUGUAUUAGACAUGGUGGAGGAUAAAG
rnacentral:misc_RNA from 1 species